UACGUAGGGGGCGAGCGUUGUCCGGAUUUAUUGGGCGUAAAGAGCUCGUAGGCGGUUCGAUAAGUCGGAUGUGAAAUCUCCACGCUCAACGUGGAGAGGCCAUUCGAUACUGUCGUGACUCGAGUCCGGUAGGGGAGUGUGGAAUUCCCGGUGUAGCGGUGAAAUGCGCAGAGAUCGGGAGGAACACCCGUAGCGAAGGCGGCACUCUGGACAUUUCCUGACGCUGAGGCACGAAAGCCAGGGGAGCAAACGGG
rnacentral:rRNA from 1 species